rnacentral:lncRNA from 1 species
AGGCAGCCUUUCUAGAAGCUGGUUCUUUCUAAGGAUACCAGGCUCCUUCCUAGAAGUCUUUGAUUGUCCUGCAACAAAUGCAUUGAUGACAAAAUGGAAUGCAGUGCUCAGCCCUCCUGGCCUCCUGCCUGAUUCACUUCGGAGUGCACCACAUGGGUGGAAGAGCUGCCCCCACCACAUACAGCCCUCACCCACAGUGUGAUGGAUAGAACCAGGACAGGCCUACCAGGAGCCCUCCUACCACACACUGUGGCUUCUGUGAAAGGACUAAAUUUAGGACCUGAAACCAGCUGAAAUGGGGACAGCAGAGCCUGCUGCGCUGCAGCUGCCCAUCCAGGUAAGGAAACCAUGGCACAGAGAGGUUAGCAACAUGCCCCAAAUCACAUAGAAAGGCCUCCCUGUCUGCACACCGAGAGACCGAAUAUACAAACGGACAAUGGCCAAACCGUAUAUGAUAAUAGAACUCUG